rnacentral:ncRNA from 1 species
GGAAAAACGCUGACGAAGAGUAGUACAUAUGCUAAAACGUGUAGAGAGUCUGUGGUUGCUGCAAACAGAUCGUGGAGGUAUAUGGAAUGGACUUCUGAGUUAGCUUUGUGAACGUGUUCAACUAUUAGCAAAGCUCGUCCCUUCACGUUACGAAGCAGAGUGGCCGAUUUCGGCAAGCUGGGUGGUACCGCGGAUUCAAACAUCAUUCGUCCCUUCA